CAGCCACGUGUGUUAGUUAUGCCAGCAGUAACACCACCUCACCCACGAACCGAGCCGGGGUUAACUGCUGUCUACUGCUCGAGUUCCAGCCACAAGUCGACUAGCGUUAGUCGUAGGGCCGUCUGAAUACCAACCAGCUGACAAACUCAACAAGCAGUGGGCGUAGAUGCAGUUCAGCAGGAAGAUGAUGGUGGCCUCAACUCCCAGUCGCCGCUGGUAGGCGAAAUCCAGGGGAUCCAGAAGAGGUCUGACCAUGGGCCGCAGCUGGUCCAGAAACAGUCUCUCCAGGGUCUUCAUAAUGAGGGAGGCUUUUUUUCUGAUAGACCACUACUGGGUGUUGUGGAGAUGAAAGGGAUGCUGGGAACUCAUCUCACG